rnacentral:rRNA from 1 species
CCUACGGGAGGCAGCAGUAGGGAAUCUUCCACAAUGGGCGAAAGCCUGAUGGAGCAACGCCGCGUGGGUGAAGAAGGUCUUCGGAUCGUAAAACCCUGUUGUUAGAGAAAAAAGUGCGUGAGAGUAACUGUUCACGUUUCGACGGUAUCUAACCAGAAAGCCACGGCUAACUACGUGCCAGCAGCCGCGGUAAUACGUAGGGGGCAAGCGUUAUCCGGAUUUAUUGGGCGUAAAGGGAACGCAGGCGGUCUUUUAAGUCUGAUGUGAAAGCCUUCGGCUUAACCGGAGUAGUGCAUUGGAAACUGGGAGACUUGAGUGCAGAAGAGGAGGGUGGAACUCCAUGUGUAGCGGUGAAAUGCUUAGAUAUAUGGAAGAACACCAGUGGCGAAAGCGGCUCUCUGGUCUGUAACUGACGCUGAGGUUCGAAAGCGUGGGUAGCAAACAGGAUUAGAUACCCCAGUAGUC